rnacentral:rRNA from 1 species
UACAGAGGGUGCGAGCGUUAAUCGGAAUUACUGGGCGUAAAGCGUGCGUAGGCGGUUAUGUAAGUCGGAUGUGAAAGCCCCGGGCUUAACCUGGGAAUGGCAUUCGAGACUGCAUAGCUAGGAUGCGGAAGAGGGAAGUGAAAUUUCCGGUGUAGCGGUGGAAUGCGUAGAGAUCGGGAGGAACACCAGUGGCGAAGGCGACUCUCUGGCCUGUAACUGACGCUGAGGUGCGAAAGCGUGGGGAGCAAACAGG